UACGGGGGGAGCAAGCGUUGUUCGGAUUUACUGGGCGUAAAGGGCGGGUAGGCGGCCACCGCAAGUCAGUUGUGAAAUCUCCGGGCUUAACCCGGAAAGGUCAACUGAUACUGCGGGGCUAGAGUGCAGAAGGGGCAACUGGAAUUCUCGGUGUAGCGGUGAAAUGCGUAGAUAUCUGGAGGAACACCGGUGGCGAAGGCGACGUCCUGGACCGGCAUUGACGCUGAGGCGCGAAAGCCAGGGGAGCAAACGGG
rnacentral:rRNA from 1 species